rnacentral:rRNA from 1 species
UACGGGGGGGGCAAGCGUUGUUCGGAAUUACUGGGCGUAAAGGGCUCGUAGGCGGCCAACUAAGUCGGAUGUGAAAUCCCCAGGCUUAACCUGGGAAUUGCAUCCGAUACUGGAUGGCUUGAAUCCGGGAGAGGGAUGCGGAAUUCCACGUGUAGCAGUGAAAUGCGUAGAUAUUGGGAAGAACACCGGUGGCGAAGGCGGCUCACUGGCUCAUUUCUGACACUCAGGCGCGACAGCGUGGGGAUCAAACAGG